rnacentral:rRNA from 1 species
CCAGACUCCUACGGGAGGCAGCAGUGAGGAAUAUUGGUCAAUGGGCGCAAGCCUGAACCAGCCAAGUAGCGUGCAGGAAGACGGCCCUAUGGGUUGUAAACUGCUUUUAUACGAGAAUAAUUUGAUGCACGUGUGCGUUAUUGCAUGUAUCGUAUGAAUAAGGACCGGCUAAUUCCGUGCCAGCAGCCGCGGUAAUACGGAAGGUCCAGGCGUUAUCCGGAUUUAUUGGGUUUAAAGGGAGUGUAGGCGGUUUGUUAAGCGUGUUGUGAAAUUUAGAUGCUCAACAUUUAACUUGCAGCGCGAACUGUCAGACUUGAGUACACGCAACGUAUGCGGAAUUCAUGGUGUAGCGGUGAAAUGCUUAGAUAUCAUGAAGAACUCCGAUUGCGAAGGCAGCAUACGGGAGUGUAACUGACGCUUAAGCUCGAAGGUGCGGGUAUCGAACAGGAUUAGAUACCCUGGUAGUCCGCACAGUAAACGAUGGAUGCCCGCUGUUAGCGCCUGGCGUUAGCGGCUAAGCGAAAGCAUUAAGCAUCCCACCUGGGGAGUACGCCGGCAACGGUGAAACUCACAGGAAUUGACGGGGGCCCGCACAAG